rnacentral:rRNA from 1 species
AUUGAACGCUGGCGGCAGGCCUAACACAUGCAAGUCGAGCGGUAACACAGGGAGCUUGCUCCUGGGUGACGAGCGGCGGACGGGUGAGUAAUGUCUGGGAAACUGCCUGAUGGAGGGGGAUAACUACUGGAAACGGUAGCUAAUACCGCAUAACGUCGCAAGACCAAAGAGGGGGACCUUCGGGCCUCUUGCCAUCAGAUGGUCCCAGAUGGGAUUAGCUAGUAGGUGGGGUAACGGCUCACCUAGGCGACGAUCCCUAGCUGGUCUGAGAGGAUGACCAGCCACAAUGGAACUGAGACACGGUCCAGACUCCUACGGGAGGCAGCAGUGGGGAAUAUUGCACAAUGGGCGCAAGCCUGAUGCAGCCAUGCCGCGUGUAUGAAGAAGGCCUUCGGGUUGUAAAGUACUUUCAGCGGGGAGGAAGGCGACAAGGUUAAUAACCUUGUCGAUUGACGUUACCCGCAGAAGAAGCACCGGCUAACUCCGUGCCAGCAGCCGCCGUAA